GAACCAGGGCUCUUUCCUACACUCCUCUUCACAUUCCCGACUUACACGCAGAGGGAAAGAGAAUUCAUAAAGGGAAUAUUUUUCUGCCUUUGAAGAUAUUCUCACAAGAUCGUUCUCCACGCCCAAGGUGUGGAAACAGGAAGAGAACUAGAACUGGAAGUAAAGCAUUGAAGAUGUGACUGAAUUGCUGCAAUCUCAUGAUCAAAUUUGAAUGGAUGAGGAGUUGCUUUUUAGGGAUGAGCAAAGAAAGUGGUUUCUCGAGAUGGAAUCUACUGGUGAAGUUGCUGUGAACAUUGUUAAAAUGCCAAUAAAGGAUUUAGGAAUUACAGAAACCUGGUUGAUAAAGCAGUGCCAGGGUGUGAGAGAGUUGACUUCAAUUUUGAAAUAAGUUCCACUGGCUGGGUGUGGUGGCUCACACCUGCAAUCCCAGUACUUUAGGAGGCCGAGACUGGUAGAUCAUUUGAGGUCAGGAGUUCAAGACCAGCCUUGCCAACAUGGUGAAACCCCACCUCUACCAAAUUAGCCAGGUGUGGUGCACACCUGUAGUCCCAGCUACUUGGGAAGCUGAGGCAGGAGAAUCUCUUGAACCAGGGAGGAGGAGGUUGCAGUAAGCCGAGAUGGCGCCCCUGCACUCCAGCCUGGGUGACAGAGUGAGACCUUGCGUUUAAAAAAAAAAAAAAAGGAAAAGGAAAAAAAAGUUCUACUGUGGGUAAAAUGCUAUCAUGCUAUCAAACAGCAUCACAUGCUACAGAGAAGUCUUGUGAAAGGAUGUCAGUGUGGCAAACUUCAUUGUCUUUUAAGAAAUUGCCACAGCUAUCGUAAUCUUCAACCACCACCACCCUGAUGAGUCAGUAGCCAUCGUUAACGUUGGCGUAAGACCCUCCACCAGCAAAAAGAUUGUUAGCAUUUUUUUAGCAGUGAUGUAUUUAUCAAUUAUACAUAAUGCUAUUGUACACUUCUUAAUAGACUAUGGUAUAGUGUAACCAUAAUUUAUGCACUGGGAAACCAACAAAUUCAUGAGAUUCGCUUUAUUGUAGUGCUCUGGAAUUGAGCCUGCCGUGUUUCUGAGGUAUACCUGUGUAUUUAGUAUGUUCCUUGUAUAUAAAACCCCAUUUUAUAGGGUAGGAAACUAAGGCUUAGAGUUUGAGCAAUUUUCCCAUAGAUAACACCAAUAAAUUGAGGGCUGCAGAGACCACUUAAGUGGUUCUCUUAACAGUAGUCUAGACAUGACGUAAUGAGAUUUGGCUUAGGAGUGACAAUGGUAAGGAAGUUAAAGGAUUCAGGAACCAAAUACCAGUUAUUGAGAAGAAAGAAUGGCCUCAAAACAUCACUUCUCAAGGAAGCCUUGAUACCCUCACCCUUACUACACUGUAUCCUCCAUUUGAAUGUUGUCAAGAGCUCUUCUCACAAUUGUAAAUAAUAAUUGUGUAAUUUUGUUUUUUUUUUCCUACUUUAGGUUGCUCCUUGAGGGCAGGACAGUUCUUAUGGCUUUAUCCGUUGCGUAAGCACAGAGAGGUCUGCGAGGUCAAAACUAUUGUCAUGAUAGCAAGAUGCCUGUCUUUUUCAUUUAUUCUCACGGUGUGCAGAGGCUACAUGAUGUGUGAUGACAUCCUCAUUGAUGUUAAUGAAUGGUGCUAUACUUGAAUUUUCUAAGGUGUCAUUAGGUAGGUUUAGGUAUGCAUACUUGUUUUUAGAAAUUAUUUUUUUCCUUUUUCCCAUUUUUAGAAAUCAACUCAUUUUUUAGGUUAUGCCUUCAGUAAUCUUUGCAACCUCAAUAUUGUGUAAUGGUUACUUUAAAAUACUGUAGUUUUCUUUGUGCCUAAGUAUAAACAUAAGUACAUUUUGUUGUUUUGUUUGCAAUAGUGGUUUAAAUAUUUUCCCAAAAUAUCCAAAUUUAAAAAUUCUACAACUUUAGAAUUUAAUAAAUUUAUUCUAAAAUAUUUAUAUAUUUUUUCAUUUAAGAAUGGAUCGGCUUAAAAAGACUGCUUCUCAUUUACUUACUGGCUAUACCAUCUGUAUACUAAUAAAAAACAAGAUUUGAUUUGGAAGGACUGACUCAAACUAACGAAAAUAUGAAACCUGUCUUUCUGCUUUGGAGAUAUUUACCUAAUCAUGUUCUGCAGUAGAAUAAUUUAGUUCUUUUGUCUUUUUUUGGAGAUGAGGUCUUGCUGUGUUGCCCAGGCUAUUCACAGCUGCCAUCAUAGUGAACUACAGCCUGAAACUCCUGGGUUCAAGAGAUCCUUCUGCCUCAGCCUCCUGAGUAGCUGGAACUAUAGGCAUGCGCCACCAAGCCUGGGCUUUUAAAAAAAUUUUAAAAAGAAUUUUGAGACAGGAUCUUGCCAUGUUGCUCAGGCUAGUCUUCAACUCCUAGCCCUGAGUGAUCUUGCUUUGGGCCUCUCAAAAUGUUGAGUUAAUAGGCGUGAGCCACCAUACCCAGCCAAAAAUUUUUUUAGAGAUGGGAAUGGAAUGAUCUUGAAUAGUGUUGGUGCCACCUAUGUUGUGGCAUCAUUUUGAAACCAAUCAUUCAGAGUGCUUUUUUUGGUAAGGCAUUAUUUUUUAAUGCAGGUAUGCCACUACUGGGAAAAAAAAAAAAACAGGUUUUAAAGCUAGAAAUGAAAAGCUACUUAAGUAUCUUAAAGGAUAAGUUACUUUAUUAUACACUAGAAACAUACACAAUAGCUGAAAAACUUAAAAAAUCUCACACUGCUGAAUGUCUCUGCUGGCUGAAGUGUAAGUAAAAGAUCAUAGUAGUGCCGCUGUUGAGUGAUAAAGCAACUUGUCAUUAAAGAUGUGUGUGCAGACAUGGAUUCUGAGUUAAUAUCUCAUCUGUAGAAGUAUAUAUUUGUCCCUUGCUUUGGGAUUGGUUUCUGGACAGCACUCCCCCACCCUUGCUGGCCAUUUGCCAAGGACACCAAAACCCAAGGAUGUUGAAUUCCCUUUUAUAAAAUGGCGCUGUAUCUGCAUACAACUUACACACAUCCUCCCAUAUACUUUAAAUCAUUUCCAGAUUUCUUAUACUUCAUACAAUGUGAAUGCUAUAUAAAUAGUUGUUACAUUGUGUACUUAUAUUUGUACUAUUGUAUUAAAUAUUCUCAAAUAUUUUCAAGCACAUUUGGUUGAAUCUGCAGAUGCAGAACCUGAGGAUAUGGAGGGCUGACUGUGCUAAUACGUUAUCAAUGGAUGCGUGCAUAAACAUGGCUGGACUUGUUACUUGGCUUGUAUUUGCCAGGCAUCAGCACCAACUAGUUAAAGAUACUCUUACGUGAAAGCUUGGCAACAAACACAUGUCCUGAAAUAAUGCAAGUGUAGAAUAACUUUUUAAAAUCUCAUGGUUUAUGCUAAACUAUAUGUUGACAUAAGAGUGGUGAUAAGGCAACAGUAGGUAAAAGUAAAAUUUCAGGCACCUUGGCACAAACUGUGGCAGUGGCAUCAAACUCUAAGUUAUUUUUCACUGCCAUGCAUUUGUGGUGUGAACCCCCACAAAAGAAAAAAACCAGUUUCACUCAAGAAUGUCCUUGUGAAAGCAGUGACAUUUUGUUAAAUCUUAAACCCUACAGUACAUAACUUUUUGAAAUGGUUGUCUCAAGAAAAAGCACUCAUGUAAGCUGAAUUAUCUGCUAUUUCCUUGGAGCCUAACAACUGACAGCAAUUGUUUUCAAUGAUAAAAUCCAAACGUUGAGUCAAAAUCAGAAUUUCGGGAAAACUUGUGUCUAAUAUCAGGAACUUGACAGCUUCCCAAUACUUCAUGAGAUAGUGAUAUUGAAAAUAAUUUUUUUUUUUUUUUGGGACAUCUGGCUGACUGCAACCUCUGUCUCCUGGGUUCAAGCAAUUCUCCUGCCUCAGCCUCCUGCAUAACUGGGACUACAGGUGUGUACCACUGUACCCGGCUAAUUUUUGUAUUUUUAGUAGAGAUGGGGUUUCACCAUGUUGGCCAGGGUGGUCUUGAACUCCUGACCUCAGGUGAUCCACCUUGGCCUCCCAAAGUGCUAGGAUUACAGGUUUAAGCCACUGUGCCCGGCCAAUGAUAUUUUAGGUAGUAUACAGUAAAAUGGGCCAACAUUUGGGAGAUUGACAUAACUCAGUGAAGCUAUAUUUUCCUAAUGACUAAUACGUGAGAUUAUAGAAAACUGCUAGUAACAUUGUAACCAAUUGAAUGCAAAAGAAACAAUUCAGUUGUCUUCUAUUUAAGUCAGACAUUUAGGGAAACAAUUGCCAAAAUGUAAAACAAUGCACCUAUUUUUUUAAAAAUAUGCAUUUGUUGCUAUAAUAUUUAAAUAUUUUACUUUCUAAUAUGGUAAGAUACUAGUAAAGUGAUUUGGGGCCCUCAAUCUUUAAGAAUGUGAAGGGAUUCUCUGAGGCCACAAAGUUUAAGAAAUGGCUACUCUAGCACAAACGCACAUAGUAAAUACUCAAGUACCUGUUGAAUGACUUCAUGGAGUUAAAGUGACUCCUGGUAUUAAAUCUGUAUGGCUGGGAUAAUGGGCAUGCUAGGACAGGAAGCAGAUUUCCUUAACUUCACCACUGUAACUCAUUAACAAACAUGUUAGCCUGAGACAGAAGUAUUAAGGGGCGACAGGAAAGCCUUUCAUAAGCAAUGUGAUGCUUUUUUUCACAUUAUUCAACAUGGUUUAAAAUUUGGUAUACAGGCCUAUGGUGUUUGUCCUGAACUUUUGCCAGAGUAGAAUGGUUCAUGUUUUUCCUCAUAGAUUUUCACUCCUCACUAAACUUCAUGACAUCUAACAUGAACUUAUUAGAAAAGGCUAUGCUUGAGAAUAAGGAUAUCUUUUUUCUAUGCCUAUGUUGUUAAUGAGUAUGAAGCACUUACAGGCUUUUAUGUACUUGAGGUUCCAAAGACAUUUCCAAAUUUUCCCAUUUUCAGUCUUCAACUUAACAUUUUGGUCCUUGCAGUGGAGACCUGAGUCCUAUCUGACAUUGGGACUACAGUUAGGGCAGAAUUUCCUAAACUGCCAUUUUUUAAAGAAAUAAGGGUAACCAAAUGUUCCCCUUAAAAGCACUCUGGUACCCUCUAGUAUUGGGAGAUAACUAUCUUCCCCUAAUUAGAUUUGUAAAAUCUUUCUCAAUAUUUAUUUACAUUUUUUUCCCCUCAAAUAUAUUGACUUUUUCAUUCCCAGUAACAAUAUGUCUGGUCUGUAACUAAGUCAUUCCAUGUUCAGAUUACAGAUUUAUUUCCCCAUCUUUUCACAUUCUUUUAGUCCAGGAGACCCACUUUGAAGGUUAAAACCAAGGUCACACAAUGAAUAGGUGGCAGUGUCACAUAUAACUCAGCUCCAGGCCUUAUGAAUCCUGCUUAUAGCCCACUGCCUAUUCUAGUCACCAGAUUGAAAAACACCAUACUAGGGAAGAAGACGGCAAACUAUUGCCCACUACAUAUUUGUAUCAGUCUUGUCAAAUUUUUAUUGUAGUAUGUAAUAGAAUUAAAGCUAUGAUGAAUCAAGUAAAAAAUGAUUUCCUUAAAAACUAAGCUAAUAGGCGAAAAUACUCGCUUGUUCAACAAAUACCCAGUCUGGCAGAUACAAUACCCUGCCCUUAGUGGGGGGUGGAGUGGGGGGUGGGGGGGUGGGGAAAGACAUCGUGGUGAAAACAGACAUGGUCCUUGAACUUCCUGGUUCUGUGGGUUGCUUAAUUUGAGGUUUAAAUGGUUUCUCCCAUCAGGUGAAAAGUUUUGUGUUCGGCCCAUAAACAAAGCAGCUGUGAAUUCUGAUAGUGGUAAAAAGGCCAGUCUAGGAUAUAAAACCUUCAUAAACAUCUUAUUUCCCAUUCAUUAUGAAGUGUGGGGUAGGAGAUCAGAGAAACCAGAUGAGGAUUGCUGGCUGUGCUGCUAAUGUGAACUCUUCUUUCAAAAGUAUUGUGUCCUUUUAUUCUCAAUGGAGACAUCAGAAAGUAUUAAGAGGAGUACUAUUAUAAUACUAAUAGGAUACUGAAAAUCUAUACUGAUUGCAGCCAGAGGCUCCAAAAUAAACAAUACUAUGAUGAGUUCCACAAAAAAACCUCAACUACUCUUUGUUCCAGGGAAGCACCAUUUUCCACAAAACUCUCAAGAAGGACUUGUUGCAACUGGAAAAGCAAUUAAAUGUGAAUCGUGAUCCAGGAGAAAGUAACAACUCACAUAACUCCCAAAUUAAAAGUUUUCCAAAGAUAUAUCAUUUUUUUUCUCUUGGCCUUUUAAGAAACUAGCCAACAAAUACUCUUGACAGGUUUGUGUUUGGUUUUGAAAACACACACCUUAGUGUACUGAAAGAAAAACAAUUUCUUUUAAUUUGGUUUGUUGGUCCCACACCCCAUCUAUCAAUGUAUGUGCUAUUUACAAAUAAGUUCUAUACAGUAUUUUUGCAGUACCUUUGAUAAUUCCUAGACCUCUAUUUUCAUUCUGUGUAUUAAUGUGAAUAACAGAUGGAUAUUUUAAUAUUUAAGGCAGAUGGUAAACUUUCCUAUAGGUCUUGUGAGACUUCGUCUUAUAGGCUGAACACCAUUCACAAAAUGUAAUAAUGCUUCAUUCCUUCAGGUUGAGGUAAAGAACUUGAGCAACUGGAUUAGCAAAGCUGCAAAGAAUGAAAUGUGGCCUAAGAUGUAAUUAUGUUCUCUGCCCUUCCUUUGGGCCAGGGUAGUUUUGCACUUGACACAAUGGAAAAUAGGCCAUAAAGCCUGAAAAUAAAAUGUUCUAAACCCCAAUCUCACAGCACUUUAGUAGGCUUUUCACUAGGCAUCUUUAAAGUAUUUUCAACAAAAUACUAAUUAAGCUACCACUUCAAAAGAGCUUCAAGGAAAAGCUCUGCUUUCUUAUAAAAUCUUUUUGAGACAGAGUUUCGCUCUUGUCGCACAGGCUGGAGUGCAAUGGCGUGAUCUCGACUCACCGCAACCUCCGCCUGCUGGGUUCAAGUGAUUCUCUAGCCUCAGCCUCCUGAGUAGUUGGGAUUACAGGCGCCCGCCACCACACCUGGCUAAUUUUUGUAUUUCUAGUAGAGACAGGGUUUCACCAUGUUGGCCAGGCUGGUCUCCGGACCUCAGGUGAUCUGCACACUUCGGCUUCCUAAACUGCUGGAAUUACAGUCGUGAGCCACUGUGCCUGGUCUCAUAAAACUUUUAAAUUCCAUCACAUUACAUUCACACCUUUUGCUAACCAGGAUGAAGAGCCUUAAACAGGUUUAAAGAGUGCAGACUGCAGUUUUGUUAAUACUUUUUUCCUCUCCAAGUUCUUUUAUGCUAACAUUUCCAGUGGUGGGAAGUACAAGUACUAUUAGUCAUCUUCAUUCUUUGCAUUGCCAAAGAGUUCCUCUUUCUCCGUCUUGUUCUGAAGGAUGAACAAAAGCUUGAGGUGUACGUAUCAGAACGUAAACUGCAGCACGAAGACCACCAACGUUCACCCAGACUGUAUCCACCUUUCGCCAUACGUGUCGCAUUCCAGAUAACGCCUGUGUACACACAAAAAAAAUAACAAUUAGGUUGACAAUCUACUUUUACAUCAACUAGGAUUCUUAACUGCCAAGAUAGGAAACCUCAGGGGAAGAGAAAACAAAUCUUAUCCAAACAAACAUCCCCAAAUCUCAAAAAGAUCCCAAAGUUGCCACAGGCUGCGAUUUUGAGCUAAUGUGUAUAGCACCUUGGUAAAGCAUUUUGUGUCUUGAGUAAGUAGUACAGCUCGGCCUGUGGUAGGUGUGCAGACACGGCUCAUCUCCCGUAGGCAAGCUGGAUAAAGGUUCCAGUUUCUCUUCUUGGAUCCCAUCCUAUAAUAGAAGGUCUCAUGAGUCAAACACUUGCAAAAGAUACAAAAUAGAAGGACUAUAUGAAACAAAAACAGUUUCAUGCAUCCUGAGGCAUGAAAAAUAGCUGUAGUUUUAGAAACCAGACCUUUGCCAUUACAUGUCUAUGAAAUAAGUUGAGUUAGUAAACUGCUUAGAAUUCUGAAUCAAAAAAAUUUUUUUUAGACAACUGUGUUAGUUAUAUGACUUGUCCUCUUAGUAUAAUAAGCAGUCAAACUGUAUAAACCAAACAAGUGAUUAGAAAUCAUUUAGGCCAGGUGUUUUGGUGGCUCAUGCCUGUAAUCCCAGCAGUUUGGGAGGCUGAGGCGGGCAGAUCACCUGAAGUCAGGAGUUUGAGACCAGCCUGGCCAAUAUGGUGAAACCCUGUCUUUUAAAAAUACAAAAAUAAGCUGGGCAUGAUGGCAUGUGCCUGAAAUCCGAGCUACUCAGGAGGGUGAGGCAGGAGAAUCGCUUGAACCCGGGAGGCAGAGGUUACAGUGAGCCGAGAUCAUACCACUGCACUCCAGCCUGGGCAACAGAGCAGGGCUCUGUCUCCAAAAAAAAAAAAAGAAUCAUUUAUGCUGAGAAACAGAAUGAGAACCAAGUCUUCUACCACCUUUUUGUGUAGGAUAUAUAAUUCAAGAAUGGGCUAGAAAGUGAAUUACAGGUAAUUUAAAAAUGAACCUCCCAUGAUGGUCAGGAUUCCAAAUGUAGUUAAUACAUUCCUGAGUUCUCGGAAGAAACAUAAUGGGUGAAUCCAUCAUGUUGUUAAGUGAAAAACAGCUCUGCUAAGUCUGCUAAAAUUCAAGAUUUUUUUCCUGACUUAGAAUAAACGCAAGGAAAAUAAUGACAUAUUUAGAAGACAAGCAGGUACUAGUAUUUCUCACCUUUUUCCAAAUGGCAAAUCUGUUACAAUAAUAUCCACAGAGCCAGUUCUCAAUGGCAGAUUGCAGAUAUCCCACUGAACAGCAUCUAUGGGCAAGCCCCAGGAGGGUUUGCUGUGGGGACAAAGGAAAGGUGCUUCAACAUACUGUGAAGCAUAAAGUUAUUACAACAAUUUUUGUUUCUGAAGAGAGACUGCUACAGCAAAACAUAAACUGCUAAGGAUAUCAGUGAUAAUAUCAACCUAUUCAAAAUUUAAGAAAUGGCACAAAGGUAAAAAAUAGGUCAGGCUGGGCAUGGUAGCUUGUGCCUAUAAUCAGCACUUUCAGGGGCUGAGGUGGGAGGAUCACUGGACUCCAGGAAUUUGAGACCAGCUGAGCAACACUGUGAGACCUUGUCUCUAAAAUACUUUUUUAAGAAGUUAGCAGGGCAUGAUGGCACACACCUAUAGUCCCAGCUACUCAGGAGGCUGAGGUGGGAGGAUCACUUGAGUCCAGGAGUUGAAAGAUGCAGUGAGCUAGGAUUGUGCCGCUUUACUCCAGCCUGGGUGACAGAGCAAGACCCCCGUCUCAGAAAAAAGGGAAACAAACUGAAAACAUGAUUGUAAUGCAGAGAACUGCAAAAGACAACUUUAAAAACAAUGCUGAAGCAGUAAAUUACAUAACCGAUGAUACAAAAAUUUAAGUUGCUGAUAAAACAUACACUGGAGAAAAACAAUACUAAAGAAUAGAUAAUGGGGUGAUGUAUCUGAAGAAUAAAGUUUGUAAAACUAGUAAUAACAGGAGGCCUAAAAGAAAAACAGAUAGUAAAAUUGGCAAAUAUAUAGGUAAUUGUUUCAAGAUGAAAAACCAAAAGGAAAAUAUGUGCCAUGCUAUAUAAAACAAGACUAAGAAAAAAGUUAAGAUAAAAAAUAUAGAUGACAGAAGACAGAAUGAAUAAUAAUAAAUACAAAGGAUUUAAAUCCUCCUCAUUAAGGCAAAGCAACUGGUUUAAGAAACAAAAUAAUGCACAGGCUAAGAACUGAAGAUAAGUCAAAGGUUAUCAGCAGAAAUUAAGGAUUUAAUUGACAUUUAAUGAAGAAUUUAAGAAAAAAAUGCAAUAAAAGCAAUCAUUACAUAAUUUUUAAAAGUACACAUAAAAUAUGUAUUAUAACCGCAUACCAAUAACUGCACAAAACAAAAGGCAAAAAAUAUUAAAAACCAAAGUAAAAUGGAUAGAAAUGUACAGGUUGAGGCCGGGCACAGUGGCUCAUGCCUGUAAUCCCAGCACUUUGGGAGGCCAAGGUGGGCAGAUCAUGAGGUCAGGAGAUUGAGACCAUCCUGGCUAACAUGGUGAAAACCCGUCUCUACUAAAAAUACAAAAAAAAAAUAAGCCGGGCAUGGUGGCGGGUGCCUGUAGUCCCAGCUACUUGGGAGGCUGAGGCAGGAGAAUGGCGUGAACCCGGGAGGCGGAGCUUGCAGUGAGCCGAGAUCAAGCCACUGCACUCCAGCCUGGGCGACAGAGUGAGACUCCGUCUCAAAAAAAAAAAAAAAAAAAAAAAAAAAAAAAAAAAAAAAAAGUACGGGUUGAACAGACAGUGUAGGUACAAACAAGAUAAAAUAUUCAGAAGCUAGAAAGGUACGUUUGUUUAAAUGUUUAUCAGUUUUAAUUAAAAAAAAAAAAGACUGGCCAUAUACUAGGCUCAUUAAAAAAAACCCUCAAUAAAUAUGAAACAACCAUUCAAAAUUAAUUCAUCACAAUAAAUCAGUAUUUAAGAAAAUUGAAGCCUUCCAACUACUUGUCUUAAUACACGUAAAAGGAUUUAAUGUUGAUACAUAGACCAGCAGCAUCAGCAUUGUCCUGGAGUUUCCUGGAAAAUGCAGACUCUUAGGUCCCAUCCCAAACUACUAAAUCAGAUCUGUGUUAACAGUACUCCUAGGUGAUUCACAUGUACAUUAAUGUUUGAGAAGCACUGUCCUAAAAAAUUAGAUCAGAGAGACAAUGAAAUAUAUAACCAAUGACUUAGUAAUAAAAUAGAGGCGAGGCUAUAUAAACUGCAGUAUUUCUAUACGAUGGAAUUUAUGUAGUGACUUUAAAGACUAUGGUCCAGGUGUGGUGACUCGUCUCUAAUCCCAGCAAUUUGGAAGGCUGAAGCGGCAGAAUCUCUUGAGGCCAGGAGUUUGACACCAGCCUGGACAAAACAGCAAGACCCCCAUCUCUACGAAGAUUUUAAAAAAUUAGCUGGGCAUGGUGGCACAUGCCUGUAUUCCUAGCUACUAGGGAGGCCAAGGCAGGAGGAUUGCUUGAGCUCAGUAGGUUGAGGCUACAGUGAGCCAUGAUCAUGUCACUGCACUCCAGCCUGGGUGACAAAAUGAGACCCUGUACCCAAAGCAAAAAAGAAGCCUAUGUAAAAAUAUACUGUUUAAAAUUUUGUGAAAUUAAAAUGAGUCUAUAAAAUAUUCUUCCAAUAUGUAGGGGAAAAGACAUAUGAAUAAGACAAAUGAAAAAUUGCAUAUGGUGGGGAAAUUAUCGCUAAAAUAAUAUUUUAAAAAUAUAACUUAUUUUCAAUAAACUUUAAAAAUGUAAAUGGAGUCUCAUAGUAUAUUCAUUUUGGUUACAAUGACGUCACAAUGCACUGGGAGUUUUAAUUCAUAAAGUCAAUAUAAAAAGUGAUUCUCUAACUCUAAAAGAUGCUAAGAAAUCUUUUAAAUUUUUACCCUUCUUUAAUUUGGCUCUUGGUCAAUAAAGAUGCAAUGUUAUUUGCUGCUCUAUUCACAGCCAGUGGAUUAUUAUCACCAGCAAUAUGGAAACAGUCAGACCAUUCAGUGGCCCCCUAAAAGAUAAGAGUGUAUGUUAAAACAAAAGUAGCAAACUGUAAAAUAUGAUUAAAUUGUCAACAAACAAAGAAAAUCCAGUGCUUUUCUAGAGUGGCAAAACAUUGCAUGUUGUCAACUGUGCUAUUUCCCUGGCUGAAAAUGCCCUCUUAUUCUUUCUCUGCUUGCUGAACCUCUACCCAUCUCUUAAGACCCAGCUCAAACCUCAUGCCCUUUCAACAUCAACCUUAACUCUCCAAGCAGUCUUAUGUGCCCCUCCCAAAAACACUUUGUAUGUACGUACCUCUGCCACUGCACUUGUCCCACGGUUAAUUAUUUCUUCCCCUUUAUGCCUCUCAACUAACCUGGGAGCUCUCUGAGGUCAGGUCUAGUAUUUUAUUCAGUUCCUCAUCCAGCAGUGUCUGGCACACUAAAUUCUAAGUUAAUGCGGUUUGAAAAUAUUUGAGAUUUGUGGUUGUGGGAGUUUACAUAAUCUGAUAUAUUUGAAAAUUGCAAAAUAAAAUGCUAUUUCCGGCCGGGCAUGGUGGCUCACACCUGAAAUCCCAGCACUUUGGGAAGCUGAGGCAGGAGGAUUUCUUGAGCCCAGGAGUUUGAGACCAGCCUGGGAACAUGGUGAAAGCCCAUCUCUACAAAAACACAAAAAUCAGCUGGGUGUGAUGGUGUGCACCUGAGUCUCAGCUACUCGAGAGGCUGAGGUGGGAGAAUGGCUUAAGACAGGGAGGCAGAGGUUGCAGGGAGCUGAGAUUACACCACUGCACUCCAGCCUGGCUGACAGAGCAAGACCCCAGGUCAAAAAAAUAAUAGUAAAAUGCAAUUUCCUUUGUAUGAUAGGCUUUUGAAUGGUAACCACCAUAUCACUGGAAGGAUUUUGUAAUUAUAAAUAAAAAACCUGUCAGCAGAACAUAAAUACCAAGCUGUCACAUGUCAUUUGUGGAAUGAGGUGACGUGACCCUAGGCCUGAACAAUGUUCUAUGCAGAUUAACAGAAGGUUUCUGACACGAAAGCCGGGAAAGGUCUGCCUCUGCUUAGGGGUGAGUAGCAAACACCUUUGUGUUCCUUUGUGAACAGUAACAUACUUCUCAUCCAUGAGUGCAGUGUUUCAUAACUUUUUCUUUUGCCCAGACACUUGAGGGUGAUAACAUACCCUGUCUACAAUCCUACGAUGACAUCAAACAAAAGGGAAGUUGAAGUAUCCCAGAAUUUUGGGUGGGUGGGGAUGUAGAGGGGACCUAGAGUUUGAGGAAGGCUCUCAGUGAUUCCGAUUCCCAAAUAUUCUUUUUUUUUUUUCCUAAACCUAUUUGGAUUUUCAGCAUUGGAAAGAAUUGGGUUUUAUAGCAUAACACUUCUAAAUUAAAAAAAAAAAUUAUUCUAGAUCAAGUA
rnacentral:lncRNA from 1 species